rnacentral:misc_RNA from 1 species
GAUGAAGAACGUAGCGAAAUGUGAUACUUGGUGUGAAUUGCAGAAUCCCGUGAACCAUCGAGUCUUUGAACGCAAGUUGCGCCCGAAGCCUCGGCUAAGGGCACGUCUGCCUGGGCGUCACGCAUCGCGUCUCCCCCAAACCGCCAAGGCGGAGGGGAAGGAAUAUGGCUUCCCGUGCCUCACCCGGGCGCGGUUGGCCUAAAUUUGGAGCCCGCGGCACUUAGCUCUCGCGGCGAUAGGUGGUGAACAAGGCCUUGGCCGUGCAAACAACCCGCUGCGAAUUUCUAUGUCACGUGCGCUCGUCGGACCCUUUGAAGUUGCCUUUGGUGACUUAAAACCUUUGCGACCCCAGGUCAGGCGGGGCUACCCGCUGAAUUUAAGCAUAUCAAUAAGCGGAGGA